ensembl:lncRNA
GCUGUGUUGGGUCUUAGUUGCGGCACUUGGGAUUUUCCUCAUGUCAGGCAGGGUCUUUGGUCAUGGUGGAUGAGUACUCUGCUGGCAGUGCUGGGCUCCAGCCCAUGUGGGCUUAGCUGCUCAACCAGGGAUCAAACCCACAUCCCCUGCGCUGCAAGAAGAAGUCUUAACUACUGGGCCAAUAAGGAAUUCCCCUUUUCCUCUUUCUUUUUUUUUAAAUAAAAUUUCCCGACUUCUUUUCAUAGGAAAUGUUAUUUCAAAACCACAGUUUGGGUUCUGGGGUGCUCAUUGCUGUAGAGUUGAUCAUUGUGUCUUGCUUUCUGGCGGCCAGAACUAGCAAAUGUAUAGAAUCCCUUGUGAGCUCCUCUGGUAUGAGCAAAGAAAGCUGGCGUGCGGGACCUGAGAGGCAAUCAAUUCAUCACUGGCACAACUAAGGUUUUCUGGCCCUUCCCUUUGCUUCAUUUCUGCAGCUCCAUUUCAUUCACAGUCAGCAGUUUCUCCCUGGGACAGGGAGCCUUGGAGGGGCUCUUUCAGGAGUUUAUAGCAGCUGGAUGGCUCAGCCCCUCCAAGCCCCUUGCUCUGAGACACACCCCAGUGUCACCUGCUCUUCCCAAACUGGCCACCAUGCUUUACCAGAAAUAUCUGUUGCUUAUUUUGGGGUGUUCCUGUUCUCAGGUCACCAGAUGCAGCCCCCCGCCCCUGCCCGCCUUGAUCUUGUUCUGCUUCUGCCCUCGCAGAUGCAAGUCUUGCAGCUCUCCCUGCGUUGUCUCCACCCUUGUAUUUUAAGCUUCAUGGAGACAGCUUAUCACCCAAUGUGUUGUUAACCUUGCCUCUGGUUUUGGGCCACAGGUCAUUCGCUCAGCUGGUGGCUGGGCUAGCCUGGAAGGUCCAGAGGACCCCCCUCGGCAUUUCCCCCACGUGGCCUCUCUUUCCCCACGUGGUGGCUCACAUUCAGUCACUUAAGCUUCUUUAAACCCACUCCAGUGUUCUUGCCUGGAGAAUCCCAGAGACAGGGGAGCCUGGUGGGCUGCCAUCUAUGGGGUCGCACAGAGUCGGACACGACUGAAGCUACUUAGCAGCAGCAGCAGCAGCAGCAAAGCAUCAUGGUGGCUUCCCAGAGAGAACAGAAGCAGAAGCUGCUAGGUCUCCUAAAAGCCACUCCCAUCCCAAUGGCUGGAUCAAAGCAAGUCACAAGACCCGCCCAGAUUUCUGGGGAGGGAGACAGGCCCCACCCCCGAUGGGAGGUGCCUGUAGGGAGGAAUGGGUGGGGCCAUCUUUGGAGAUUCCGAGUCAGGCUGGUCUGAACUGGAGCCCAAGCUGAUGCCUUAGGAGACUGGGACCAACUAAAGUCUGCACCAGCCGCUGAGCGGUGGAGUGGGGCAGCGGGGACGGGCCCUGGAGGGCUGGCAGGACAUAUGGCCCUGCCAGUGGUAAAUUGAGCCGGGAGUCCUGCCAGGGAGGGCCAGAUGGAGCAGGAAGAAGACACAGAUCAACCCUGCGGCGACGGCUCCCGGGUGGCAUUGCAGCUCUGCGGGCCCAUUCCCCUGGCCUUGGAGCAUCCACGCUGGGCCCCCUCCCUUGCCCAGGCCACCUGGCAGAAUAGCCUCUUGCGGUCUGCAGGGCCGAGACAGCUGAAGGGGAAGGCGGAUGAUUCAGAGACCUGUAAGGGCCUCUCCAACAGUCACGAGUCUGUUCCCACCUUGCUCCUCUCCCCGCGUGGGGCUGAGCCUCCUGGCUGAGUGUGGAAACAAGUCAGCCUGGAGCUCUGACAUUGUGAUGGACAGAAGGCAGGGCAUUUUCCCCUCUGAUGCCUCAGCGUUUUUUCUGUGGCUGGCUGGAAGUGCCCGCCAGCCUGAUGCCACGUGGCAGUUCCACGGCCUCAGCGAUAGAAGUGGAUGUCAGCAAAUCGGAGAGCUGUUCCAGCUGUCUUCCUUGCCUUCAAGGUGAAGAUUUGACUUUCUGCCUCCAGGCAAAUUCCACAGGCUCUGUUUCUCAUCCUUAAGAAGCAGAAAUGGGGAGUUCCGCCUGCCAGAACUCCCCAGAUAGCUUUGCUGAUGUCAGGAGGAUCUGAGGGUGCAAAGAUGAGCGUGGAUGAGUCCCAUGAACUGUGGCACCUCCAUGCUCCCUGUGUGUGUCAUCUCGUGGGGCUUGUUCCCUGCCCCUCCCCCGUACCAGGUGUCAUUGAGUUGUUUUGAACAGGGAAACAUCUUACAGCUUUGAUUCUCACAGUGUAACCCAGGUGCCACCAGGGAAUCACAUGGGGAGCUUUACAAAAUGUCAGUUUCCAAAUCAAAACCACCAAUGAAAGGGAUAGAAUACAGGUAGCUGUAGAAGUCCCAGUAGGGGACUAAGAGGGAAACCUAGGGAACUUUGGGAGACCGCUGUGAGUUAAUGGUCCCUUAAAGAAAGGUACAGGAAUGUUGUGGAGUGAAGCAGGC